AGCGAACGCUGGCGGCAGGCCUAACACAUGCAAGUCGAACGAACUCUUCGGAGUUAGUGGCGGACGGGUGAGUAACACGUGGGAACGUGCCUUUAGGUUCGGAAUAACUCAGGGAAACUUGUGCUAAUACCGAAUGUGCCCUUCGGGGGAAAGAUUUAUCGCCUUUAGAGCGGCCCGCGUCUGAUUAGCUAGUUGGUGAGGUAAAGGCUCACCAAGGCUACGAUCAGUAGCUGGUCUGAGAGGAUGACCAGCCACAUUGGGACUGAGACACGGCCCAAACUCCUACGGGAGGCAGCAGUGGGGAAUCUUGCGCAAUGGGCGAAAGCCUGACGCAGCCAUGCCGCGUGGAUGAUGAAGGUCUUAGGAUUGUAAAAUCCUUUCACCGGUGAAGAUAAUGACUGUAGCCGGAGAAGAAGCCCCGGCUAACUUCGUGCCAGCAGCCGCCGUAACAC
rnacentral:rRNA from 1 species